rnacentral:rRNA from 1 species
AUUGAACGCUGGCGGAAUGCUUUACACAUGCAAGUCGAACGAUGAACCUUAACUUGCUUAGGGUUUUAGUGGCGAACGGGUGGGUGAUAUAUCGGAACGUGCCUUGUAAUGUGGGCUAACUAGUCGACGGAUUAGCUAAUACCGCAUACGCCCUUAGGGGGAACGUAUGGAAUCUUCGGACCUUACGUUAUAAGAGCGUCCGAUGUCGGAUUAGCUAGUUGGUGGGGUAAUGGCCUACCAAGGCGACGAUCAGUAGCUGGUCUGAGAGGACGACCAGCCACACUGGAACUGAGACACGGUCCAGACUCCUACGGGAGGCAGCAGUGGGGAAUUUUGGACAAUGGGCGCAAGCCUGAUCCAGCCAUUCCGCGUGAGUGAAGAAGGCCUUCGGGUUGUAAAGCUCUUUUGUUAGGGAAGAAAACUUGCCAUCGAAUAAAUGGUGAGGCUGACGGUACCUAGAUAAGAAGCACCGGCUAACUACGUG